GAUGAACGCUGGCGGCGUGCCUAAUACAUGCAAGUCGAGCGAACAGACGAGGAGCUUGCUCCUCUGACGUUAGCGGCGGACGGGUGAGUAACACGUGGAUAACCUCCCUAUAAGACUGGGAUAACUUCGGGAAACCGGAGCUAAUACCGGAUAAUAUAUUGAACCGCAUGGUUCAAUAGUGAAAGACGGUUUUGCUGUCACUUAUAGAUGGAUCCGCGCCGCAUUAGCUAGUUGGUAAGGUAACGGCUUACCAAGGCAACGAUGCGUAGCCGACCUGAGAGGGGGAUCGGCCACACUGGAACUGAGCCACGGUCCAGAGUCCGACGGGAGGCAGCAGUAGGGAAUCUUCCGCAAUGGGCGAAAGCUUGACGGAGCAACGCCGCGUGAGUGAUGAAGGUCUGCGGAUCGUAAAACGCUGUUAUUAGGGAAGAACAAAUGUGUAAGUAACUAUGCACGUCUUGACGGUACCGAAUCAGAAAACCACGGCUAACUACGU
rnacentral:rRNA from 1 species